CCUACGGGGGGCAGCAGUGGGGAAUAUUGGACAAUGGGCGCAAGCCUGAUCCAGCCAUGCCGCGUGAGUGAUGAAGGCCCUAGGGUUGUAAAGCUCUUUUGUGCGGGAAGAUAAUGACGGUACCGCAAGAAUAAGCCCCGGCUAACUUCGUGCCAGCAGCCGCGGUAA
rnacentral:rRNA from 1 species